UUCCAACAUACAGCCUACAUUGCUGGCCUGAGACUUGUGGCAAAAAAGACUUUCAAAAUCUAAUUUGCUCACAUACAUGAACACCUGCCAGGAAGGAAUUUGAGGCCUUUGGUCUAAACAUGGAAAAGCUGAGUUCAUUUGCCCCAGAGGGGGCACCUGCAGGGAAAAGGAAAAAUGGUUUUAACCCUUUCCUUGAGUCAGAAAAUGAGGCCACCAGAUUCUCCUUUCAUCCUUCAAGUAUCAGAAAGGUCUGUGCUGUGAAUUCCACAGAUGAGAUUCAUUGCAAGAUGUGAGGGCAGAGGAAAUCCAUGGAAAUGAGUUGGGUUUUCACCAUGUUGCCCAGGCUGGCCUCGAACUCCUAGGCUCAAGCAAUCCUCCCGCUUUGGCCUCUCAAAGAGCUGGCAUUACAAGUGUGAGCCACCACGCCCAGCUUUGUACUUUCUUAAUGAUGUGAAAAGACAUCUGAGUAAAUCUGUAGUUGAGAGUGCAGGAAAAAGAAACUCUAUCACACACUCUUUUGUCAACCGAAUUGCAGAAGUCCACAUUCAAACUGGAUGCAUGCAUUCAGCAACUGGAAGCUGAGUUCAUAUUUCAUUGCCCAACUACCCUGACCACUUGGGAAUCGCAGGUUUGGAAGGACCCACUGCCAUUCUGUGGAAAUGGAUCUGCUUUCAGGACCGAAUCUCAGACUUCUUGGGGAAGGUUUCAGUGGCUGCCUUUGCUGUACAGACCUGGAGAUGGGUCUGAUGAUCGGACACCUGAAUUAUCUGUGUGGCUGAGUUUCAAGAAGACCUGCUGGGGUGAAAUGAAAAUGGUGCCUACUAGAAGCCCCAGUGGCCUUGCUGGUGGAGGUUAGCUUGCUCAUGUCCUCAUACAGAAGCAGAGAUGCAAGCAAGUGAGAAGGUGGAAGGACUCAGGUCUUGGGCCUUACUCUGAGAACUAUAAUACCAUUCCUUCUGCUGCAUUCUCUUGUCUAAAUUACAUGGAUGAAGCUGGAAGCCAUCAUUCUCAGCAAACUAACACAAGGACAGAAAACCAAACACCGUGUGUUCUCACUCAUAGAUUUGCUCCUCCACUGGCUCUUCUUGUACACACACGACUGCUACAGUAUCAAGGGUCUCAUGCAGACAUGACAAUAUCAAGAGGAAGACGAGAGGCUCGCUCUUCCCAGGCUUUUGCUUUUAAGAGCAGAAAAACUUUCCCCAGAGUUCCACCAGCUCACUUCCCAUCUUACUUCUUUGGCCAGAACUGGCCCUUGUGCCCAUAUUGUCAGUCAAAUACUGACAAAGGAAAGGGGCCACUGUGAGUGGUUUAGACUUGGAUUGGAUUUGUCCUUAUUGGAUUGUCCUUAAGUCCUUUGAAAAAGAGGUAUACAACAGAAUGAAAUCUUGACUCGGCUUUCAAGAAUGAAGAGGGUGAGAUGACUGAUGGAUGGCUAGCAAAAUCAGAUGUGGGCUCUGUCCUCAUGGAGCAUACAGUCAGAAGGGGAAGAUUUACCUAAUUACACUAACAAACUUAUAACUGUGGUCAGUGUUCUGAAGGAAAGGAAAUCCAGUUGUAUGGUAACAUAUAACAAAGAAACUGAACUAGGAUGGAGAUGGGGGUGGUUAAGUGUGGUUGGGGAAGCCAGGGACAUGAUCUGUAGGAUGGCUGGCCUGGAUUCAAAUUCCACUCCACUUACUUGCUGUGUGAUUUUAGAUAAGUCGCUUCUCCUCUCUGAGCUCAACUUCAUCUAUAACAAUCUUUCCUAGGGUUGUUAAAGGAUUGAAUGAGCCACUCUAUGUAACCACUUGGCACAUAGUAGGCACUUCAGUGGCUCCUUUUCCAGAUUAAAGAAGGAGAAAACGUGUAUGUUUGGAGUUAGCACAAGACAGGAUGAUUCCUCAUGUUUGUUUUGGAAAACAAGUCUUAAACUCACAGCCAUGACAGAAUCUGACAUCAUCAGACAUCAGGCGUGUUAAGAAUUGCACUCUUAAUUGAAAAUGUCCAGAGUUUGUGAUUAAUUGCAAUCCUUUUCAGAUCCUUUCCCUAAGAAUUUAAUUUUUCUCCCCACCCACCCGGAGGUCAGGCUUUUAAUGUAACAAGUACAAUCAAUCUUCCACUGAAGAUGGCCUCUCUCUAGUGCAAGCUGGAGCAGGACUCAUCUGGAUUAGAAGCCUAGACGGUUUGGAGUCACCUGGUGAGGUUUACGUGCACAGCUGGGGCCCAGCCUACCUAAUUAGGACCAGAGAGUGGUCGAGAAGGGGACGGGUGCGUAUUCUAGGCGCCCUCCUCCAGUGUCUGUUUCUAAUAACGGCAGCAAGUAGCAGAGGCGGCGGGGUGAGCGUGGAGCGUGGUGACAUCAUCCCUCCAGCUGUUUUACACAUCUGUGACAUGGCUCAUUAGGACUCUCUUAACACCUCAUCCUUCCCUGCUCCACACAGCUCCAGUUGCAUGAGAAAAGGUGCUCUUGCAUGUGAGGGGCCCCAAGACUGGGGCUGACUUCAGGGUCAAAGAUUCGCUUGGGCACUCUACCAGUCAUCAGAAUUUUCACAGAGACACCGCCCCCCCUCACACACACCCGCAGCAUGCGCUCCUUGAAAGUGCUAAUAGCUUCAAUAUGAGGCUGGCACUUCUGCAUGACUGUUGGUGUUCAGGGCCAGCCUAGUCUUGGGGAGUAGGCCAUCUGUAGCAGCUGCAGAAAUGUUUUUGCUUAUUUUGAGCAUUCUAAGUUUUUCCUAGCCAUGAAUAACAACAAUCGAAUAAAUCAUCCCACAGUGUGUAGGAUGGUCGUUUUUUUGUUUUUUGUUUUUCAGCAAGAACAACAAAAAAUGACAUAUCAUGUACUAUGGAUAAUACACAUAAAAAAUUCCGCCAUAUUUAUAGGCAGUGGUUAACUAACUAUAUUUAGAUAUUUGAAACUGUCUUAAAUCAGAUGCAUGAGAAAAGCUUCCUGGAUUUCAGUGGAAAGCCUAAAUGACUAAACC